CAAAAUUAAUAAAUAAGAGGUCUCGCCUGCCCUGUGACUAUAUGUUUAACGGCCGCGGUAUUUUGACCGUGCAAAGGUAGCGCAAUCACUUGUCUUUUAAAUGAAGACCCGUAUGAAUGGCACAACGAGGGCUUAACUGUCUCUUCUUUCAAGUCAAUGAAAUUGAUCUCCCCGUGCAGAAGCGGGGAUAUGAACAUAAGACGAGAAGACCCUGUGGAGCUUCAGGCACCAAAGCAGAAUAUGUCAAGUCCUCCAGACUAAUGAUUAAAACAACUUAUAACCUGCCCUAAUGCCUUCGGUUGGGGCGACCGCGGGGAAAUGAAUAACCCCCAUGUAGAAUGGAAGUACAGCUUCUACAACUAAGAGUCCCCACUCUAACCAACAGAACCUCUGACUAACAAGAUCCGGCAAUGCCGAUCAACGGACCAAGUUACCCCAGGGAUAACAGCGCAAUCCCCUUUUAGAGCCCAUAUCGACAAGGGGGUUUACGACCUCGAUGUUGGAUCAGGACAUCCUAAUGGUGCAGCCGCUAUUAAGGG
rnacentral:rRNA from 1 species